GUUCACCACUGUGGAUACCGAGAUAGUGGGACCCAGCACCACUCCCCUACCCCAAGUGUCCAGGCAUUCUCUCGUCUCCACCUCCGUGUUGCCGGAGGAGUGCUGGGUUACAGUAAUGACUUUACCACCGACCUGUCUGCCCUGUGUGGGGCUUUCUGGCAAACAGCACCCUGGAGCCUCCUGCCUGAGCCCUGGGGUCUUUCACAGAAACUAUUGUUCCUGACGCUUCAAAGCCCUUUCAGGCCCUUCCAACCCAGCCCAAGCCCAUUGCCAAAGUCUUUACAAAUGCACAAAAGAAAUAAAGUACUUUGUUAACUUAGUAAA